UACGUAGGUGGCAAGCGUUGUCCGGAUUUAUUGGGCGUAAAGCGCGCGCAGGCGGUCUUUUAAGUCUGAUGUGAAAUCUCGGGGCUCAACCCCGAGCGGUCAUUGGAAACUGGGGGACUUGAGUGCAGAAGAGAAGAGCGGAAUUCCACGUGUAGCGGUGAAAUGCGUAGAUAUCUGGAGGAAUACCGGUGGCGAAGGCGGCAUCCUGGACCGAUAUUGACACUGAUGAGCGAAAGCUAGGGGAGCAAACGGG
rnacentral:rRNA from 1 species